GAUCUUUCGGUCCGUGGCUUUACGGGGCACCGUGGACCACCACUGGCCGUCCAGCUCUUGCCCCCACCAUGAUCCCUCAGCCUGGAUCCCAGAAGGAAAAGGACACGUGGGACAGACCAGCAGCCAACUUCCAGCUUGAAGCGGAGCCACACACUGGAACGGAACUGCCGCCCACCCCCGGCCUUCAGUAAUCCCAGGAGAGGUAUCCUUAGUACUGCACCCAGGGCCCGGCUGCAGAAGGGCAUGCAGUAAAUGAAGAUGGAAAGAAGGGAAGAAUGAAUGGAUGAAUGGACCUGUGUUGGGAAAGAGAAUAUGCCCGAUCAUAUACACUGUGCCCUUUCUGUCAUUAAAUCAUACUUGGAGAGUCAUUUCCAUCUCAUCCAUCUCACUCAGCCUGAGUUGCCAUCUAGUCCAAUCAUUCAGGGGAAUUACAUUUAGGGACCAUUUCUUGCAGGACAGCGAGGAGCUACAAUUUAGUCCUGGCUGUGCUCCGAAUUCAUGAGUGGAUUUUUUUCAGCAGCAUGUGAUGCCCAGAAGAAUGAUCCUCUCUCAGAGUAGGGCACUGCUGUCUUUCUUAUAUUAGGGAAUAAUAAUAACCACCAACAAACCCAAGGAAGCAGAAUCAGCAGGGAGACCUUCCUCUUUAAUUCAGGAGCUCUAAUGAGUCACAGUCCCACCAUGCAGAGGACACAAUUCUCCUUCAUCAAUAGAAGAUUAUCCAUGUCGGGUGUAUUUUCUUCUGCAGCCUUGCUGCUAUUUCUCCUUCACUUCCUUCUCUGGUGCUGCUGCUCCUCUCUGUACCUGCAUGCACACACAUGUGAAAUAUAUGUCAGAAGGAGGAUCCAAACUGCUUUAUUCACUUGGCUGGCUUGGAAUUCUAAGAUGCCUUGGGUGUCAUUCCAAGGAAAUGUAAUAUGGACCAGGGAGCUUAACUGGUUGGCAAUGGUGCUAAUGAAGGUAAAGCCUUAGGGUCCCUCCCCCAAAGCCAGAACGAUGGACGCCGUUCAGCAGAUAGAGAGCAUCUUGAAUGUCAGCAACUGUAUCGUCGUUUACACGGGGAGCGACGUCAGACGAGGUAGGAUGGUGUGAAUCAUGGCAGAUAUACCACCACCAGGGGAACUCAAAAUUGGCCCCACCCUGGUGAGUCUGCGGAUUCCUUUGAUGAGAAAAGGAGGGUGUCCUACACGGCUAAAGGCAAUGAGUGACGUCCUAGCUCACUUAUAAAUGUGGAACUGAGGAAGCGGCCUGGGCCAACAUUCCCAUCUUUAUUGCUCACAAGUAGAAAAUAGAGACCUGGUCUUUCUCACUGUCAUUUUUGUGACUUUUCUGACUCUGAGGGUACCUAAUGAGGAAGAAUGUGCCAAACUCCAGCAAAGAGAAAUUUCGGCUGAAUCUUUGGGGAACAAAAAUAAUCAUGGUGAAAUCCAUUAGACCAUGUAGUAGGUUCCCAAGGGAGGUGAUGUAACCCUCGUAGCCACAGUCAUUUCAGUGUGACGGAAGCUUGCAUUUGUGAGCAGACCCCCGGGGAACAAUCCUGCCCUGAAGAGGGGAUGGGAAGGUGAUAGGCCAGAUGACCUAAUAGAUCUUUGCCGACUUAAUUUCUGGGACUGUAAGAUCCUAAUUAAAAUGAACGAUAUUGCCUAUUAUGAACUCAUUACAUUAAUAUUCUGUAAGGUCUCUAGGCAGCCCAAGAGGGGUUUAACUGUUUCUUCUUGCCAGAGAGUCAGAGUCCACGAGCCACCUUAACUGUGUACCUGUGCCCACACACAGACUUCUUCCCAACAGUGCUUGACUUGAAGUCUUUAAAAGACAUUAGAGCGCAUAUUAUGAAUUAACAUUUUAUUUGGAGUAAUCCAGUGGGAUGAGAAGCAUGCUUUAAUAUCCUUGAGAACGCUCUGACAAUAAAUAUUCUUCUGGCAAAUAACACAAUGGCAAGCUGGUCCUGUGAUGGUGGCAGCUGUCUCCCCAUAACCCCCAGGACUGAAACUGGAUCUCUCACAUGCACCCCCGACUUUUCCCUUUAGCUUCAACUGAUGAUUGAAAGGGAAUGUGGAUAGCUGGGGAAAUCUUAGCAGAGGUCCUGCCAUCAUGGACCAGCCCAGUUUUCCACUUAUGGUAGCCUCGCUUUCUUGACUGUCCUCUCAAAAUACACACUCCAGUGAGCAAAUUCAGACAGGACCACUGGUGGGCUGGCCAAGGCUGCUUUGAGAACCACUGGUGAAGGUGCCCAGGGCACUUUACCGCCAAAGUAGCAGCAAUUUAGGGCAGGUGAAAAAGCUAGGUGAUUCCACUGCCCACAUGUGUUCCAGCUGCAGGACAAGAAGAAAGGGUGGUGACAGCCAGCCGGUCAGCUACUUUAUCAGUCUUGUCCCAUCUUAAGGAUUCCCCCAAAGGUUCAUGAUGGACCACCGAACCCUACUUGUAGAAGUAGACACUGGGAUGCAUCAGAGAAUAUCAGGCUCUACCCAUUUUAAAUUUAAGUGGGCUUUGAUUAGCCUGCAGGGAAUUUCCAUGGAAACUGGCAAGCUCACUUUGCCACAGCACAAGGGUAUGACAUCAGGUAGGCGGGAGGACUGGAAAAUCCCUGUCCUUUCCAGAGUCAGUGGGUGUCACCUCACUUUGAAGUCAUCCCUGGCUCCUUCAGGCAGAUCCCAGGAGCUCCCAUUUCCAUUAGAGUGUUUCUAAUAUGUAAUUGUCCGGGUGCAUAUCAAAUCCUACCGGCAUGGGGGAGACUCUGGUACUUUAUCUGUUUCCCCCAGAGUAUAGCUCAGUUCCUGGUAUAGAAAGCGCUUCAUAAAAACGUGUUAGUUUUUUACAGUGAUAUCUUAGAACGCUGGCUUCUUCGUCUGUGAAGUGGCGUCAUAAUAACUACGCAAAUGACUGUUCUCAGGAUUAAAUGUCAGAAUAGAAAAAGUACUUAGGGCAGUGGCCAGUACUUAAAUAACAUGUAUUUCAUCCCCACCCCCCACUUUUUUUGGUAUUGGAAAAUUAUUUCUGGUUCUGAUAGAUAACAAGCAAAAAGUGUUUUUUAAAAUAGCAAAUAAACCAGAAUAUUGCACACU
ensembl:lncRNA